rnacentral:rRNA from 1 species
AUUGAACGCUGGCGGCAGGCCUAACACAUGCAAGUCGAACGAGUGGCGGACGGGUGAGUAAUGUCUGGGAAACUGGCUGAUGGAGGGGGCUAACUACUGGAAACGGUAGAUAAUACCGCAUACCAUCAGAUGGGCCCAGAUGGGAUUAGCUUGUUGGUGGGGUAACGGCUCACCAAGGCGACGAUCCCUAGCUGGUCUGCGAGGAUGACCAGCCACACUGGAACUGAGACACGGUCCAGACUCCUACGGGAGGCAGCAGUGGGGAAUAUUUCACAAUGGGCGCAAGCCUGAUGCAGCCAUGCCGCGUGUAUGAAGAAGGCCUUCGGGUUGUAAAGUACUUUCAGCGGGGAGGCGUUACCCGCAGAAGAAGCACCGGCUAACUCCGUGCCAGCAGCCGCGGUAAUAC